CUGGGGUGAAGUCGUAACAAGGUAACCGUAGGGGAACCUGCGGUUGGAUCACCUCCUUACCUAAAGA
rnacentral:rRNA from 1 species